CAAAAUUGAUUAUAUAAGACGAGAUAAUCCUAAAGGCUGAAUAAACUCCAAGAUUUGAAAAUUAAUAGAGACCAAAUCUAUAGAAAACAAAAUUAAAAUGCACCGACCCAAGUAAAAAACACGAUAUUAGUCUCAAGCCUCGAGCAAAACGCAUCAUAAUAUUUAGCGCGUCUCUUAGAGUAGACUUAUUAUUUUCACCCUUUUAUGAUUACUUACACUUGUAAGUAUAAUCACCCGAGGCACGUGCUUAGACUCGUAUUCCCCU